GAUGAACGCUGGCGGCGUGCCUAAUACAUGCAAGUCGAGCGAACGGACGAGAAGCUUGCUUUUCUGAUGUUAGCGGCGGACGGGUGAGUAACACGUGGAUAACCUACCUGUAAGACUGGGAUAACUUCGGGAAACCGGAGCUAAUACCGGAUAAUAUUUUGAACCGCAUGGUUCAAAAGUGAAAGACGGUCUUGCUGCCACUUAUAGAUGGAUCCGCGCUGCAUUAGCUAGUUGGUAAGGUAACGGCUUACCAAGGCAACGAUGCAUAGCCGACCUGAGAGGGUGAUCGGCCACACUGGAACUGAGACACGGUCCAGACUCCUACGGGAGGCAGCAGUAGGGAAUCUUCCGCAAUGGGCGAAAGCCUGACGGAGCAACGCCGCGUGAGUGAUGAAGGUCUUCGGAUCGUAAAACUCUGUUAUUAGGGAAGAACAAAUGUGUAAGUAACUGUGCACAUCUUGACGGUACCUAAUCAGAAAGCCACGGCUAACUACGUG
rnacentral:rRNA from 1 species